rfam:Mus musculus chromosome 19, GRC primary reference assembly.
AGCAUCCUGGCAAUGGGUAAGAGACACCUUGUUGGUGGUGUUCUUAUAUAAGUCAGGGGCAGAGUGGAUGGCAGUCUUUUGUUCAUCCUAGCUUGAUCUCUGGGAUGGUGGCCAAAGCUGUUUUAUGCCUAGCAUAUAAAA